rnacentral:lncRNA from 1 species
GGCAUAAAAGAAUAACCAUUUUAUUUUAUGCUCAUUCUUCCCAUGGAUCAGGAAUUCAGGCAGAAUCUGGAAGGAAUGUAUUGUAACAUAACAUCCAGGCCCUCAGGUAGAAAGAUUUGAUUGCCAAGGAUGACCAGCAGAUGGAGGAUCUGAGGUACUAAAAGUUUAAAUAACUUGCUCUGGAUCAAGUAGAUGCAAACUCAGUUCUUCAAAUUUAAGCAGUCUUGUUCCAGAUUUCAUAUAAAACUCCUGCUUCUCGCCACUCCUUACCAAUCCUCAGGUGUUGGUAACAUGGACAGGAGGCACGAGGUUGUGCCUGGUGAGGCACUCCACCCUCAAGUCCUGGUGAGUGAUCCACCCUCAAGCCUGGACUUGUGGCCCUAAAUGUAAACAGGCAUUCUUGUUUUUGUACCCAAAUCUUGUCUUUAAGCCUGCUGUGCCCCCCACCCCAACCUGUGCCCAUAUAAACUGCAAAUCCCAGGCUUCACAAGCAGAAGCGCAGCAGAGUAGCAGAGAAGGAGAGAAGAGAGGAAGUGUUUUAACGCCAGAGGAGUUCUGCUGGGGCUGGUCAGAAAGGAGAUCAGCCGCAGGAUGGCUGAACUCCGGCAGAAGAUCAUUUUCCCAUUCCAUCCCCUCUCCAGCUACCCAUCCCAUCGAGAACCACCUCCAUCACUCAAUAAAAUCUCCCCAUUC